rnacentral:rRNA from 1 species
UACGUAGGCAGCAAGCGUUGUUCGGAAUUACUGGGCGUAAAGAGUGUGUAGGCGGCGCUCCAAGUCUGGUGUGAAAUCUCCCGGCUUAACUGGGAGGGUGCAUUAGAAACUGGAAUGCUAGAGGAUGGGAGAGGUAAGCGGAAUUCCUGGUGUAGCGGUGAAAUGCGUAGAUAUCAGGAGGAACACCUGUGGUGUAGACAGCUUACUGGACCAGUUCUGACGCUGAGACACGAAAGCGUGGGUAGCAAACAGG